rnacentral:rRNA from 1 species
UACGUAGGGUCCGAGCGUUAAUCGGAAUUACUGGGCGUAAAGCGUGCGCAGGCGGUUCGCAAAGACAGGUGUGAAAUCCCCGGGCUUAACUUGGGAACUGCGCUUGUAACUAGCGGGCUAGAGUGCGGCAGAGGGGGGUGGAAUUCCACGUGUAGCAGUGAAAUGACGUAGAUAUGUGGAGGAACACCGAUGGCGAAGGCAGCCCCUGGGUCG